rnacentral:rRNA from 1 species
UACGGAGGGUGCGAACGUUAUUCGGAAUCACUGGGCUUAAAGGGCGCGUAGGCGGGCCGAGAAGCCAGGGGUGAAAUCCUCCAGCCCAACUGGAGAAGCGCCUUUGGAACUGGCGGCCUCGAGGGGUGCAGGGGCAUGCGGAACUCAGGGUGGAGCGGUGAAAUGCGUAGAUAUCCUGAGGAACACCGGUGGCGAAAGCGGCGUGCUGGACACCUUCUGACGCUGAGGCGCGAAAGCCAGGGGAGCGAACGGG